CAGUAGCCGCGGGAAUACGUAGGUGGCAAGUGUUGUCCGGAAUUAUUGGGCGUAAAGGGCUCGCAGGCGGUUUCUUAAGUCUGAUGUGAAAGCCCCCGGCUCAACCGGGGAGGGUCAUUGGAAACUGGGAAACUUGAGUGCAGAGGAGGAGAGUGGAAUUCCACGUGUAGCGGUGAAACGCGUAGAGAUGUGGAGGAACACCAGUGGCGAAGGCGACUCUCUGGUCUGUAACUGACGCUGAGGAGCGAAAGCGUGGGGAGCGAACAGGAUUAGAUACCCCUGUAGUCCCUGUCUCUUAUAC
rnacentral:rRNA from 1 species